rnacentral:rRNA from 1 species
UACGGGGGGGGCAAGCGUUGUUCGGAAUUACUGGGCGUAAAGGGCUCGUAGGCGGCCAACUAAGUCGGACGUGAAAUCCCUCAGCUUAACUGGGGAACUGCGUCCGAUACUGGAUGGCUUGGAUUUGGGAGAGGGAUGCGGAAUUCCUGGUGUAGCGGUGGAAUGCGCAGAUAUCAGGAGGAACACCGGUGGCGAAGGCGGGUCUCUGGGCAGUAACUGACGCUGAGGAGCGAAAGCGUGGGGAGCGAACAGG